GUGGGGGAUAUUGCACAAUGGGGGAAACCCUGAUGCAGCGACGCCGCGUGAAGGAAGACGUACUUCGGUAUGUAAACUUCUAUCAGCAGGGAAGAAGAUGACGGUACCUGACUAAGAAGCCCCGGCUAACUACGUGCCAGCAGCCGCGGUAAUACGUAGGGGGCAAGCGUUAUCCGGAUUUACUGGGUGUAAAGGGAGCGUAGACGGUGAAGCAAGUCUGAUGUGAAAACCCGGGGCUCAACUCCGGGAUUGCAUUGGAAACUGUUUUACUUGAGUGCUGGAGGGGCAAGCGGAAUUCCUGGUGUAGCGGUGAAAUGCGUAGAUAUCAGGAGGAACACCGAUGGCGAAAGCAGUCUCCUGGCCAAAUACUGACGCUGAGGUACGAAAGCUAGGGUAGCAAACAGGAUUAGAUACCCUUGUAGUCC
rnacentral:rRNA from 1 species